AUAUCUAAAACCUGCAGGACACUGGCCCUUGAGGCCUGGAGUUGCCUACCCGUGCACUACACCUAGGAACCUCAUCUGAGAUCUUCCUCUUGUCCUCCCACCUAGCAGCUCCAUCUUCAUCCUUUGUCCAGUGUAUCCACUCUCCUUUGACUUUGAGCUAUCCCUCUGAUGGACUCAUUUCUAAACGUCUAAAUCCUGAUGCUUAAAAUUAAAUCUAGCUUAGGCAUCCCUGGAUGUUUCAUGUCUGCUGCUACUGGACAUGCGAAACCUGAAGUGCUCUUUACCUGGGUCUUCAUUGGCCUACAAUAGUCAUCUGAGGCCUGCAAGCUGAUGUAGGUAUGGCUGAUUCGCAUACAGUUAAGGUAAGGAGUCAAAGUUUGUCUUCCCCCUCCUUACCCCCUCGGCUAGCCAAGGAAGAUGGCCGCCAGCCCUCAGCCUGCUCCUGUUGAAGGUGUCUUCCUGUUAGGGAGAAUUUAGCCCCCUGCUAACACCGGGAGUACACGGGAUCACUGGCCUUCUCUCUACCUUCCACCGCAAAGUGCUGUGCAGAUAAAUGUGCACACCUGUACACACAGCACGAGCCAUCUGUUGCUGUGACACACCGCCCAGCCCUCCCUGGUCCACCAGGCUUUAAGGUGGAGUAGCCCAGCUAGCCAAAAAACGUGCCCCAAUGCUUCCAGCUGGCUCUAGCUUAUCGAUCCGAGCUCCGCGUGAAGGACCGCGCUACACGCACACAAAGGCCGCGGUGUGCCCGCUGCUCGGAGCCGCUCACCAGCCUACCUACACGCGAGCCUCGGUGGACUGUCCCAUAGAUAAACGGGUUCACAUGGCACGUUAGCUGGCCCUCUCCGGAGCCAAGCUGCGAAAACUGAGCGAACACACGGCUCCCAAAGCGAGGCAGGGCGAGCGGCGGCCGCAGCACGUGUCCCGGCCGGCCACCCCUCCGCUGCUGCCGGAGAGAGCCCCGCUAGCAGCUCCGAACCGGGACCGAAGGGUGAACCAAACACGAAAUUCAUGUUUAAACAAUUUAAUUUAAAAUGUGAGGAUUAAACGACAAAAUGGAGCGGAAAAGGAGGCAGUCACGACCGAGCCACGGCUAAAAGAGAGCUACAUGUGGGGGAUGGCUAUAUCCUGGAGACCAAACAAUCAAGCCGGUAGCUGUAUUUCGACUUUUUCCACGCAAUAACAGUUAUUACACCAUCCGAUGGCAGUUGGAAAUACUCAGAUACUGUAAUUUGCAAGUAAUACACCAUUAUGUAUAAUUAUACUCUUGUUACAAUGUCAAUAGGAUCGCUAACAGCAACUCCCAGUCUACACCGGGAUGUAGACGGGGCCUGGAAGAGCGAUCCAGUUAAUAAAAAACCCAGGUGAUAUAAACUAAUCACACACAGAGAUGUUGGAUUAGAUUACAAAGAAGC